AGAGUUUGAUCAUGGCUCAGAAUCAACGCUGGCGGCGUGCCUCAGACAUGCAAGUCGAACGAUUAAAGCUCUCUUCGGAGAGUGUAUAGAGUGGCGCACGGGUGAGUAACACGUAAGUAAUCUACCUUUGAGUGGGGAAUAACAGUCGGAAACGACUGCUAAUACCGCAUAACGCAGCGGCACCGCAAGGUGACAGUUGUUAAAGGAGCAAUUCGCUUAAAGAGGAGCUUGCGGCAGAUUAGCUUGUUGGUAAGGUAACGGCUUACCAAGGCUACGAUCUGUAUCCGGUCUAAGAGGACGGUCGGACACACUGACACUGAAUAACGGGUCAGACUCCUACGGGAGGCAGCAGUCGGGAAUUUUGGGCAAUGGGCGAAAGCCUGACCCAGCAACGCCGCGUGAAGGAUGAAGUAUUUCGGUAUGUAAACUUCGAAAGAAUAGGAAGAAUUAAUGACGGUACUAUUUAUAAGGUCCGGCUAACUACGUGCCAGCAGCCGCGGUAAUACGUAGGGACCAAGCGUUGUUCGGAUUUACUGGGCGUAAAGGGCGCGUAGGCGGCGCGGUAAGUCACUUGUGAAAUCUCUGAGCUUAACUCAGAACGGCCAAGUGAUACUGCAGUGCUAGAGUGCAGAAAGGGCAAUCGGAAUUCUUGGUGUAGCGGUGAAAUGCAGAUAUCAAGAGGAACACCUGAGGCGAAGGCGGGUUGCUAGGCUGACACUGACGCUGAUAGCGCGAAAGCCAGGGGAGCAAACGGGAUUAGAUACCCUCGUAGUCC
rnacentral:rRNA from 1 species